GCCUGGUCCAUGUCGCUCAGCCAGCGCAGGGGGGUGCCGGGCUGCUGGGAGGAGUUCGCUGUGGCGCGGAGAGAGUGAGACGGAGCCGACCCGUUGCAGCGCGGGCCGCGGGUCAGCGGGUCGAGGCGCCCCACUCACCCAUGAGGUGCGCGGCCGGGUUCUGGGGCAGCUGUCCCAUCUGCUUCAGGGUCUGGACGGCUGCAGAGAGAGAGGACCGGGUCCGAGGGCCGCAGACGCCCCAGGGCAGGAAGGUGGCGGGUUCAAGUCCAGAGGAGCCCGUGAGCCGGUCGGGGUACGCCGCACGCCUGG